ensembl:lncRNA
GGGAUCGGCAGCGUUCGGGAUCGGCAAUGUUCCGAAGAUCAGGAGCGUUCCGAAGAUCAGGAGCGUUCCGAAGAUCAGCGACGUUCCGAAGGUCAGCAACGUUCCGUAGAUCUGCAGUGUUCCGAAGAACGGCAGCGUUCCGAAGACCGGCAGUGUUCCUGGGAUCAGCAGCGUUCCGUGGAUCAGGAAAACUGGGAGCCUGACUGACUAUCUUGUUGAGCAUGUUGACGUCCACCCCUUUGUUGAGCACACUGAGGAAACGCUGGAAGCCAUUGCUCCUGGGUGACUGCUCAGGAACACUUUUAACAGGAGCAGGGCUGUGAUUGGUGGAGUUAGGUUCCGCCUUUGAGAAAGAAAGCAAUACAAAUUUGCAUGAGUUGCAACACGUAUCUUUCAUAAAUAUCCACUGGGCUUCAUGUGCAAGUGUGUCUCGUAUGCAGUACCAAUAUAAUGUUGUGCAUAGAAAGUAAUGCGAAACAAUUUGGAGAAUUUCAAGGAUAAGAUCUCGCAUCAUUCAAACUUGCACAAAAGGCCUACCCUUUUGCCGACGUCAGUCACUGGGAAGCCACUGCUGGGCUGCCAAGGAUUAUAGUUCAGAGGGGAAGUGGAUUCAUUUUGGUCUCGUGUUGCAUCAUACACCUGGUCAGAAGGAGGACAAAAAAUAGAUUAUUUGUAAAAAAAAUCAAACUGAAGUAUGAGUCAUCCUAAAUAAUCAACCAUCUAAGCAGUCUCUUCUUAAAGGCCUAAAGUAUUGGAUUGGAAUAAAUUGGAUUUAUCAUGUUGUGAAAAUGUAGCACUUGCAGUAGAUGGCUUAUCUGAUGAACUGCAUGUAGCCACAUGAUUAUUAGCAUUUCCGGGUUGCAUCUUUACUGUUGAAUCCCCUUAAUACAAGUCGUUUUGGAUACAAG